rnacentral:sRNA from 1 species
UUGGUGUCCGGACAUGGCCUUGGCACUGUAGCAUGUGGACAGCCAGUGCCACGGAUUUCAGAACCCGCAUUGCCAGUUGACUGCCUGCUUUGUGCUACGUGCAGGCCUGCCGCGCCCUGAUGAUUGCUGCCUCGGUCCUGGGUCUGCCGGCCAUUUUACUGCUGCUGACUGUUCUUCCCUGCAUCCGGAUGGGCCAGGAGCCCGGUGUGGCUAAGUACAGGCGGGCCCAGCUGGCUGGUGUUUUGCUCAUUCUGCUGGUGAGAAAAGCUAGAAUGUGGAGUCCUGUCAUCAGAUGAUGUGACUACAUGGAAUGAGGACUAUAGCUGCUCUCUUAAAAACCUGCAGCCCCCUCUCUCAGCCCAGACAGUUGAGCUGCUUCAGUUGUCAGGAUGUUUACAUGGAAGAAGCACUGGACCAGUUAUGCUGGGCUCCUGUUUCUACUCCAUCCCUGUAGAUUCAGCAUCCUUGUUUCUAAAAUAAAAGUAUUACACCAAAGACUCUCUUAAGGAUCUCCUAACUCUGACCCUCUAGGAUUCCAUCUGUUAUAUUGAACUUUGUAAUUUUUUUUGCC